UACGUAGGGUGCGAGCGUUGUCCGGAAUUAUUGGGCGUAAAGAGCUCGUAGGCGGUUUGUCGCGUCUGCUGUGAAAACCUAAGGCUCAACCUUGGGCUUGCAGUGGGUACGGGCAGACUAGAGUGCGGUAGGGGAGACUGGAAUUCCUGGUGUAGCGGUGAAAUGCGCAGAUAUCAGGAGGAACACCGGUGGCGAAGGCGGGUCUCUGGGCCGUAACUGACGCUGAGGAGCGAAAGCGUGGGGAGCGAACAGG
rnacentral:rRNA from 1 species